rnacentral:piRNA from 1 species
UGAAGAACCAGCCUGCCUCCA